CCUACGGGGAGCAGCAGUGGGGAAUAUUGGGCAAUGGGCGCAAGCCUGACCCAGCAACGCCGCGUGAAGGAAGAAGGCUUUCGGGUUGUAAACUUCUUUUGUCAGGGAAGAGUAGAAGACGGUACCUGACGAAUAAGCCACGGCUAACUACGUGCCAGCAGCCGCGGUAAUACGUAGGUGGCAAGCGUUGUCCGGAUUUACUGGGUGUAAAGGGCGUGUAGCCGGGUUGACAAGUCAGAUGUGAAAUCCUGCGGCUUAACCGCAGAACUGCAUUUGAAACUGUUGAUCUUGAGUACUGGAGAGGCAGACGGAAUUCCUAGUGUAGCGGUGAAAUGCGUAGAUAUUAGGAGGAACACCAGUGGCGAAGGCGGUCUGCUGGACAGUAACUGACGGUGAGGCGCGAAAGCGUGGGGAGCAAACAGGAUUAGAUACCCCAGUAGUC
rnacentral:rRNA from 1 species